rnacentral:misc_RNA from 1 species
GGACUGGUUGAGUAAUACUCUCAAUUCAGGAAGUGGCUAACUUUGUCAAAGGAAGUCCUAACGCCAGCAUCUCAAUGCAUGCCACACAGUACUGAUCUUAAUUGUUGUUGCCAUUGAUUUAUGCUUGGUUCAUAUUUCUUCCUUGUGAUGUUCUUUAUUCUUAUUUUCCUUUUAUCAUUUAUGGAGUUGGACUUUUAGUAAUAACGGCUGAAGAUUUAGUAUUUUACAAAUGGUUUUGGUGGAAAAAAAGG